GCCGCGUUCGUCUAGAGGCCUAGGACGCCGCCCUCUCACGGCGGUAACACGGGUUCGAAUCCCGUACGCGGUACCA
rnacentral:tRNA from 2 species